GGGGAUAUAAUUCAAUUUGGUAGAAUACUUACUUUGCACGUAAGAAGUUCGAGUUCAAUCCUCGGUAUCUCCA
rnacentral:tRNA from 1 species